rnacentral:rRNA from 1 species
CCAAUAGCGUAUAUUAAAGUUGUUGCAGUUAAAAAGCUCGUAGUUGAAUUUCGGGGUUAGUAGGUUGGUCAUGCCACUGGUAUGUACUGAUCUUACUGAUUCCUCCUUCCUGAUGAACCGUAAUGCCAUUAAUUUGGUGUUGCGGGGAGACUGGACUGUUACUUUGAAAAAAUUAGAGUGUUUAAAGCAGGCUAACGCUUGAAUACAUUAGCAUGGAAUAAUGAAAUAGGACGUUCUAUCCUAUUUUGUUGGUUUCUAGGAUUGACGUAAUGAUUAAUAGGGAUAGUUGGGGGCAUUAGUAUUCAAUUGUCAGAGGUGAAAUUCUUGGAUUUAUUGAAGACUGACUACUGCGAAAGCAUUUGCCAAGGAUGUUUUCAUUAAUCAAGAACGAAAGUUAGGGGAUCGAAGACGAUCAGAUACCGUCGUAGUCUUAACCAUAAACUAUGCCGACUAGGGAUCGGAUGAUGUUAAUUUUUUAAUGACUCAUUCGGCGCCUUACG